UUCCCCUCAAAUCAGGUAGGACUACCCGCUGAACUUAA
rnacentral:rRNA from 1 species